rnacentral:rRNA from 1 species
CUAAGAGAUACUGGCAAUCUUGGAACCGGGAGAGGUGAGGGGUACUUCGGGGGUAGGAGUGAAAUCCUGUAAUCCUCGAGGGACCACCUGUGGCGAAGGCGCCUCACCAGAACGGCUUCGACAGUGAGGGACGAAAGCUGGGGGAGCAAACCGGAUUAGAUACCCGGGUAGUCCCAGCCGUAAACGAUGCGCGUUAGGUGUAUCGACGACCACGAGUCGUCGAGGUGCCGAAGGGAAACCGUGAAACGUGCCGCCUGGGAAGUACGGUCGCAAGGCUGAAACUUAAGGAAUUGGCGGGGGAGCACCACAACAGGUGGAGCCUGUCGGUUUAAUUGGACUCAACGCCGGAAAUCUCACCGGAUAAGACAGCGGAAUGAUUGCCGGGCUGAAGACUCUGCAUGACUAGCUGAGUAGUGGUGCAUGG